GAAAGAAAAGAGUGAGCCAAAAAAAAGUGAUCUCUCUCUCUCUCUCUCUCUCUCUCGCUCGCAGACUCAAUAGUUAAUACAAGUGCACGCAUGGUAAUGCUUGCAGACUUGACACACUCAUGUUUAAUAUAUUUCAAAUCAGCAACACAAUCUGAGGUGAACUGUCACAUGAAUGUUUUCUAUUACGCUCAAAUUGCGUUAAGGCAUUUUAGGUUGAUAAAGCUAGCACGCAUGUGCAGUCAUGUUUCUAUGGCAAGCAGUGAGGGACACUUCGACCGCCAAACCGCGUUUUACAUUUUCUCCCAUUUUUAUAAUAUUAUAAAUGAACCGUUUAAUCUUAAAGUUUUAGUGGUUCAGAUUCAGACUCGAUGCUGAGCAGAGAGCACAGACAGAGAUCAGAUGAUAGUAAAUAAAUAAUGCCAGCGGCCAUGGCAUUGCACGAGCGAUCGUUAUUAUAGUUCAAAAGGCUAACAGUGUAAGUUAUUAUGCGAAUUAACUCGAGUCAGAAUGUACAUGUGCACAGUAGCAUUUGUCAUCCGUCACUGUGACAUCAAGUGGACUUUUGAAGCUGAAAUAAUGAGUGGAUUCAGCUUGGACUUGGAAUAAUGAGAGGAAUAACAUGAAUAACUUUCUUGACGGAGGAUUGUAAUGCAUCACAGGCAGUCAGGUACAAGGAAGAGAGACUACGGCUCUUUAAAUUAGGUAAGACAAAAAGCUGUAUUCUUCGCAACAGGUUUAUUGACUUGUAAUAGCAAUUUAAGGUGGAAUAUGUGAACGUCGGGUCCAGUCGGGUCUGUGUCUUCCCGGCGGGUUCGGGUCCAGAUUUCAAGUAAUAUACGGGUCCGGGUCGGGUCGGGGUAGGCAUUUCUCGGAUCUACACGGGUCCGGGUCCAGCUUUUGAAAUAAUAGACGGGUCCGGGUCGGUUCGGUGUAGUACAUUACGGGUCUCUGUCGGGUUCGGGCAAGAAUUUUUGGACCCGUGAAGACCUCUACCAGCCCCUAAACCAGCCCCAGCAAGACCAGCCCCUAGACCAGCGCCAGCAAGACCAGCCCCUAAACCAGCCCCAGCAAGACCAGCCCCUAGACCAGCCCCAGCAAGACCAGCCCCUAGACCAGCCCCAGCAAGACCAGCCCCUAGACCAGGUAAUCCCACAAGACCACCAACUGAUUACACUUGAACUAUGUCCAAUCGUCUCUCAGGCUCAGCAGCAUGUGGAGCCUCUACCACCAAGGAAAAGACAAACCCCACCAUCCAGCCCAGGCCAAGACAGACAAGCCCCACCAUCCAUCCAACCUCAACUAAAGAAAAGACAAACCACAGGUACAGGAGCCACACAAGCCCCACCCUCGACCCUGGCCAAAAAGAAGAAAACAAAAAGGGAAGGCAGCAGAGGUGAAAGUGCGUUGGCUACCUUGCUCUUCCUGUGGCAGAGUCUGGGAGGACACCUGGGAGCCGCCCAGCAAAUUCGCCUGAUGACUAAUACUGUUUUACUAUUUGUUUUGUAUAUAUUUCUCAAUAAUUAAAUUCACUAUUGUUACAUUUUAUGAUUUGUCUGUCAAUCAUUGACUGCACUGAAUAAUUAAUGUGUCAUGACUUUGUGCUGUAUUUGAUGGGAAAAGUGAGACGAAAGUUGCAUGUAGUGACAGUCAAGUCACCUUUAUUUACAGCUUAUAGCACUUUUUACAAUACAGAUUGUAUCAAAGCAGCUUCACAGUGAUAACAGGAAAAUAAUACAACAAAGUUUCUUUUUAGAAGAAAAUUACAUCCUCGUCCACCUUAAGGCAGAUUAGCAAGCCAAUCUUAGCAACUAAAAAAAUCUAAAGCCAAGGCAACCAGAACAAGUACCAAAUUGGCAUUAUACUAACUUAUGAUGAAAAUUUUAGUUAGUAUUGAUGGUAAUUUUGGAGCAAAGUAAAUGGGCUCCUAUCCCUGGUGACAGGAUGUAUUACUGAAUCCUUUUUUACCUCUGAUCGCUAGCAUACAACACUGUUUGUUUUUGUUCUCAUGGUUGUCUGUUCAGAACAAUUAUGAGAGUUCUUAAGACAUUUCAAACAUUCCCAAUGAAGAGAAGAGGCACAAUUAUCAAUUUUCAUCUGUUAAUGGAGAUGAUGAUUUUGCAAUUGUACUGUCUUGAUUAAUGCUUAAUUUGCUAUAAAGUUAUAUUAUGCUAUACAGAUGUACUGUAACCUAAGUAGUAAUAAUGCUUUUGCUUAAGUACAAAGAUGUAACCCUGUGAUUAAUGCUAUAUGGAAAAUGUAUUGUGUAACUUCACUAACAUUAAGAAAACUGCUUACUUGCAUGAAAUGUAUGUAGUGACUGAUUUAGAGUAGAAACACUUAUGUAUUAGAAAUAGUUUUUAUGAUAAAUGGACAAUAUAGUAUUUAAGGUGUAUUUCACCGACUGUUAAGAGGAAAAAGAAGAGGAAAAGGGCUAAAGCAAUGCGACGUAAACAACUGAAAGCCUCGGCAGAGGAGUUGGCAGCACUCCAGGUGAUGACAUCAGAAGAACCAGCGUUCGACGUCUGUGUAUAAAAGACUGAGAGAGAGACUCGACCGACGGAUACUGAACAAGCACAGUAUCCCUCGACGCCUGAUACCAGCUGAUUAUACCUUGAUUUUGUAACUUUACUAUUGUACUUUGAUAUAACUUUUGUUAAUUUUAAUAAAACUUGUAUUUUAUUAUUGACAAGUUAUGGUCUGCAAGAGUAGUAAUUUAAGAGCCGUAAGCAAGAACUGACCACAGGGACGUCUACUGAGCAAGAUGUAAGUAUUUUUGAAAUGCUUAUAGUUUUGUCCAGGGUCGACUUUCCUUACCUACCUGAGAAUAAUAAAGAAAUAGGUAAAAGGUGUAUAGAUAAAGGAGACACCAUAAAACACAUCAAUGGUACCUAGGUCAGCAAUGAUUUUUCAGGCUCAGGCCAUUUUUUCAUAUCCUUUGCCUCAUACAAAGACAGAUUGGUGUCAAAUUUCACAAAUAAUCUCCUCAUCCUUCCUCUGUGUCAACAAUCAACAUACAGUAUGUGCAUGACAUAAAGAGAUCAGAAAGACCGGAGACAUGAGCCUGGGAAACUGUUAAAGCCAGAAACAAUUCCAGCUUGGCCAUCAGUAUAAUUUUAAAGUCUAAUGUUUUCUUGUCAUAAAACCAGGGAGAGAGGUAGGUUUCCUAUGUUACCCUGACAAUAGGGAGCAUUCCAGGACACUAAGGACCUCAAUCUGUUCACACUGAAUGACUUGACUGUGGGCCGGUUUACUAAGGUCCAUGACAGUGGUAGGAAAUCUAAGGCCUGGUUGUGCAAUGUGGGCCUCAUGUCUUCAUGAUCAAAGGCUUCUGAUCUUAAUUAUCAGGAAAAUGUUGCAUUAUACAUAAAAUACACUCAGUCCCCACUUAUUCUAACCCUAGCUCGGUUUUGUUUUUAUUCUCCAUGCCAAGU
rnacentral:lncRNA from 1 species